AUUCAUUUAGUAAAAGCAAUUAUUUUAGACUUCCAAUCUGAGGGUCCACUAAGAAGUGGAGUGAAUA
rnacentral:tRNA from 1 species